AGAUUAAGUUAUUAAGGGCGCACGGUGGAUGCCUUGGCACUAGAAGCCGAUGAAGGACGUUACUAACGACGAUAUGCUUUGGGGAGCUGUAAGUAAGCUUUGAUCCAGAGAUUUCCGAAUGGGGAAACCCAGCAUGAGUUAUGUCAUGUUAUCGAUAUGUGAAUACAUAGCAUAUCAGAAGGCACACCCGGAGAACUGAAACAUCUUAGUACCCGGAGGAAGAGAAAGAAAAUUCGAUUCCCUUAGUAGCGGCGAGCGAAAUGGGAAGAGCCCAAACCAACAAGCUUGCUUGUUGGGGUUGUAGGACACUCUAUACGGAGUUACAAAGGACGACAUUAGACGAAUCAUCUGGAAAGAUGAAUCAAAGAAGGUAAUAAUCCUGUAGUCGAAAAUGUUGUCUCUCUUGAGUGGAUCCUGAGUACGACGGAGCACGUGAAAUUCCGUCGGAAUCUGGGAGGACCAUCUCCUAAGGCUAAAUACUCUCUAGUGACCGAUAGUGAACCAGUACCGUGAGGGAAAGGUGAAAAGCACCCCGGAAGGGGAGUGAAAUAGAACCUGAAACCGUGUGCUUACAAGUAGUCAGAGCCCGUUAAUGGGUGAUGGCGUGCCUUUUGUAGAAUGAACCGGCGAGUUACGAUUUGAUGCAAGGUUAAGCAGUAAAUGUGGAGCCGUAGCGAAAGCGAGUCUGAAUAGGGCGUUUAGUAUUUGGUCGUAGACCCGAAACCAGGUGAUCUACCCUUGGUCAGGUUGAAGUUCAGGUAACACUGAAUGGAGGACCGAACCGACUUACGUUGAAAAGUGAGCGGAUGAACUGAGGGUAGCGGAGAAAUUCCAAUCGAACCUGGAGAUAGCUGGUUCUCUCCGAAAUAGCUUUAGGGCUAGCCUCAAGUGAUGAUUAUUGGAGGUAGAGCACUGUUUGGACGAGGGGCCCCUCUCGGGUUACCGAAUUCAGACAAACUCCGAAUGCCAAUUAAUUUAACUUGGGAGUCAGAACAUGGGUGAUAAGGUCCGUGUUCGAAAGGGAAACAGCCCAGACCACCAGCUAAGGUCCCAAAAUAUAUGUUAAGUGGAAAAGGAUGUGGCGUUGCCCAGACAACUAGGAUGUUGGCUUAGAAGCAGCCAUCAUUUAAAGAGUGCGUAAUAGCUCACUAGUCGAGUGACACUGCGCCGAAAAUGUACCGGGGCUAAACAUAUUACCGAAGCUGUGGAUUGUCCUUUGGACAAUGGUAGGAGAGCGUUCUAAGGGCGUUGAAGCAUGAUCGUAAGGACAUGUGGAGCGCUUAGAAGUGAGAAUGCCGGUGUGAGUCGCGAAAGACGGGUGAGAAUCCCGUCCACCGAUUGACUAAGGUUUCCAGAGGAAGGCUCGUCCGCUCUGGGUUAGUCGGGUCCUAAGCUGAGGCCGACAGGCGUAGGCGAUGGAUAACAGGUUGAUAUUCCUGUACCACCUAUAAUCGUUUUAAUCGAUGGGGGGACGCAGUAGGAUAGGCGAAGCGUGCGAUUGGAUUGCACGUCUAAGCAGUAAGGCUGAGUAUUAGGCAAAUCCGGUACUCGUUAAGGCUGAGCUGUGAUGGGGAGAAGACA
rnacentral:rRNA from 1 species